rnacentral:tRNA from 1 species
GGGGAGGUAGCUCAGUGGUAGAGCACCUGUUUGCAUGCCAUUGACCCAGAGGCCACAGGUUCAAUUCCCGGCCCCACCU